UUGUUUCAAGGGGACGCAGCCUGAUUGCCAGGAGUGGAGCGCGAGUCGGCCCCGCCAAUGCGCAUGCGCGAGGCGCCAGCGGAUUCUGCCAUCAGCGAUUCCCAUGGUUGUCGUAGAAACCAGUCCCCGAGGCUUGGCAAAGCAGGAGCCCUCCGUGGCAGUGCUUGGGCGUCGGGGCUCCGAGGCCCAGGCCUGACCUCUCCAGGGGUCGACAGGAACGUCUCCGGAUGCCAGGAGUCUCAAAGGGCGGACCAGUAUGACGAAACCACAGGCAGAGUCCCGGGGAAGCAGCGCGGUAUCCCAGCCUCAGGCCUGCCCGGACGGUGUUCGGGGGUUGGGCAUGUUCCAGGAUCUGUCUAUAGACUUCUCUCAGGAGGAAUGGGAGUGCCUGGACGCUGCUCAGAAGGACUUAUACAGAGAUGUAAUGAUGGAGAACUACAGCAGCCUGGCCUCACUAGACAGGUCUCUCUAUCCCAAAGCCUGAUGUGAUUUCCUUACUGGAGCAACGGAAAGAGCUCUGGAUGGUUUCAAGGGACGUACCAGGAGGAUGGUGCCCAGGUCAAGAGUUACCAAUACCAAGACAUCCAACUGCACAGAGAUUGGACCUAGAGCAGCAGGAGGGCGUAUAUAAAUCACAGAUAC